CACGUAGGGUGCGAGCGUUGUCCGGAAUUAUUGGGCGUAAAGAGCUCGUAGGCGGUGUGUCGCGUCGGCCGUGAAAACCUGCAGCUUAACUGUGGGCUUGCGGUCGAUACGGGCAUCACUGGAGUUCGGCAGGGGAGACUGGAAUUCCUGGUGUAGCGGUGAAAUGCGCAGAUAUCAGGAGGAACACCGGUGGCGAAGGCGGGUCUCUGGGCCGAUACUGACGCUGAGGCACGAAAGCGUGGGGGAGCAAACAGG
rnacentral:rRNA from 1 species